UGACCUGAGCUGAAAUCAAGAGUCAGAAGCUUAACCUACUGAGUCACCCAGAUUUUGGACCAUGCAAAAUGGCUUAUCGGAGUUGAGAUCAGCAUGCAUUCUACUGAAGCUUACUGGGUUUGAAGCAUCAGCUAUCCAAGAUCUCUCUCAUGGAACAUCAGCUGUGGGCCCUAUAUUUUCAUUUUCCCAACAGUUGGUGUAGUCAUGGAGAAUCACAGAUAACUAAGCUGGAAGAGAUUUUUAAAAAUCAUUUGGUUCCAACCAUUUGUGCUAUAUUCCAAUGUAACUCUUCCCAAUUGCCAUUAAACCACACUUCUAAAUUCUC